rnacentral:rRNA from 1 species
UACGUAGGGUGCAAGCGUUGUCCGGAAUUAUUGGGCGUAAAGAGCUCGUAGGCGGUCUGUCGCGUCGGCUGUGAAAUCCCGAGGCUCAACCUCGGGUCUGCAGUCGAUACGGGCAAACUAGAGUAUUGCAGGGGAGACUGAAUUCCUGGUGUAGCGGUGAAAUGCGCAGAUAUCAGGAGGAACACCGGUGGCGAAGGCGGUUCUCUGGGCCUGUACUGACGCUGAGGAACGAAAGCGUGGGGAGCAAACAGG